GAAAGGCACAUAAGCGUUGGUGGAAUGAAUGUGGUUGCGAGUGUCCAAACAGUGAGGAGUGAGAAGGGAAGGGAUGGGAAUGGAAUCCUGGGGAUAUCAAAAUUCAAGGGGAGAGGAAUAAAGUCAGGAAAUGAGCAAAUGAAAGAGCUGAAGAAGAAAA